GCCCCCAUCGUCUAGUGGUUCAG
rnacentral:snRNA from 1 species